rnacentral:rRNA from 1 species
GAAGGUUCCUUCUCAGUAACGUAGCUAACGCGUGAAGUUGACCGCCUGGGGAGUACGGCCGCAAGGUUGAAACUCAAAGGAAUUGANCGGGGACCCGCACAAGCGGUGGAUGAUGUGGUUUAAUUCGACGCAACGCGAAAAACCUUACCUACCCUUGACAUGUCUGGAAUUUUGCAGAGAUGUGAAAGUGCUCGAAAGAGAACCAGAACACAGGUGCUGCAUGGCCGUCGUCAGCUCGUGUCGUGAGAUGUUGGGUUAAGUCCCGCAACGAGCGCAACCCUUGUCAUUAGUUGCUACGAAAGGGCACUCUAAUGAGACUGCCGGUGACAAANCCGGAGGAAGGUGGGGAUGACGUCAGGUCAUCAUGGCCCUUAUGGGUAGGGCUACACACGUCAUACAAUGGCCGGUANCAGAGGGCUGCCAACCCGCGAGGGGGAGCCAAUCCCAGAAAACCGGUCGUAGUCCGGAUCGCAGUCUGCAACUCGACUGCGUGAAGUCGGAAUCGCUAGUAAUCGCGGAUCAGCUUGCCGCGGUGAAUACGUUCCCGGGUCUUGUACACACCGCCCGUCACACCAUGGGAGCGGGUUCUGCCAGAAGUAGUUAGCCUAACCGNCAAGGAGGGCGAUUACCACGGACAGGGUUCGUGACUGGGGUGAAGUCGUAAUAAGGUACC